rnacentral:lncRNA from 13 species
AUGCAGGACUGCCGCCCGGGGAGACCAGUGUCCUGGGACAGCUCUACUAACCCCCGACCGUGGGCUGCUCCAGGCCGUCCCCCCGCGGCCGGGGCGGUUGGUACCGCCCGGACCUCCGCCCACCGCCCAGGGCGAAUGGGCGCUACUUCCUGUACGCCAAGCUCCACCUCCACGCCCGCAGCCCCGCCCCUCUCAGCGCCCACAACCCGCCCCGCCCCCACGCCCGCUGCCGCAGCCUGCCUCACGCCUGCAGCCCCUCCCCACCGCCCGCAGCCCCGCCCUGCCCCGCAGCCGCAGCCCCGCUCCCACGCCCAUCAGCUCGUAGCCCCGCCCCGCGCGCGGCGGGAGCACCUGGGGAGGGCGUCCUGCGGUCCCCUGCGGCGACCCUCGCCCUCCUCUCACCCGACCCUGCCGGAGCCCUCCGAGAGCCGGCUCUUCCCGCCCAGCCCCGCGUCCGCGUGUCCCGCAGCAGGCGCAGCGAAACGUGCGCGCUGGCGGACUAGGCGGGCUGGGCAGGACGCGGCCGUGCCGGGCAGUCCCGUGUGGAUCUGGCGGCGGGUGGCCCCGGGACGCGGGACCGCGUGGGUGCAGCGCAGCCGGGGAGGCUCCGGGGGUCCCGAGCAGGCACGGGCUCGCGGGAUCCCCUGGCCGCUGCGGGGAGCGCUGGAGAGGCGUCCGGAGCGGCCCACGGGGUCCCCGUGCAGGGGCCCGGGUGGGUCCGCGCGGGUGUGGGAUGUGCCCGCUCCGGGCAGAUGCCGAAGGCGGAGCUGCCACGGUUUGCUGAGGACUUGGAGGAAUGAGGCGGCGAAGCAAGAGCUUGAGAACCGACGCCGGAGAGAUGGGGAAGACCGGGGAGGCCUGAGGCUGGCUGGCGUGGCUGGGGAGGUGGCGCACCGCCAAGGAUGCUUCUUUCACGUCCCAUCGUGGGUGCCUGUGUUUAUUACAACAACUACAGCAGCCCCGGAGGAGCAGCGGCAAAUGGAGGUCGGGGGCUCCAAGCUGACCACAGGCUGGCGGUCCUCCUUACCAGGCGCCUCAGCGUGUGUCUCCGCGGGUUCCCCUUUAGUUCCCCCCGGGGGAAUAGGAGGUGCCAGAGAUGGAGUGGGCAGAGGCUGCGUUGGAUGA